rnacentral:rRNA from 1 species
AUUGAACGCUGGCGGCAUGCCUAACACAUGCAAGUCGAACGAGUGGCGGACGGGUGAGUAAUGUCUGGGAAACUGCCCGAUGGCGGGGGAUAACUACUGGAAACGGUAGCUAAUACCGCAUACAAUCAGAUGGGCCCAGAUGGGAUUAGCUAGUUGGUGGGGUAACGGCUCACCAAGGCGACGAUCCGUAGCUGGUCUGAGAGGAUGACCAGCCACACUGGAACUGAGACACGGCCCAGACUCCUACGGGAGGCAGCAGUGGGGAAUAUUGCACAAUGGGCGCAAGCCUGAUGCAGCCAUGCCGCGUGUAUGAAGAAGGCCUUCGGGUUGUAAAGUACUUUUAGCGGGGAGGCGUUACCCGCAGAAUAAGCACCGGCUAACUCCGUGCCAGCAGCCGCGGUAAUUC